rnacentral:rRNA from 1 species
UACGAAGGGGGCUAGCGUUGCUCGGAAUCACUGGGCGUAAAGCGCACGUAGGCGGAUCUUUAAGUCAGGUGUGAAAUCCUGGAGCUCAACUCCAGAACUGCCUUUGAUACUGGGGAUCUCGAGUCCGGAAGAGGUGAGUGGAACUCCGAGUGUAGAGGUGAAAUUCGUAGAUAUUCGGAAGAACACCAGUGGCGAAGGCGGCUCACUGGUCCGGUACUGACGCUGAGGUGCGAAAGCGUGGGGAGCAAACAGG